AGGUGAUCCACCCGCCUCGGCCUCCCAAAGUGCUAGGAUUACAGGCGUGAGCCACUGUGCCUGGCCAGUCUUUCUUUCGUACUCAAUCGCUGCAAGGUUCUGAGGGAACUAAAGCAGUCAUGUGCAUCACAGGUCCAGCACCCCAUAUUCCCUUAACUUACUGCCAUGACUGACUGCAGGACCGUAACAUCUAAGACUGUUCCAUAUUAACAAUCAUGAACUCUAGUAUCUUCUCAUCUUCCUGUUUCUUUCAUCUCUUCCUCUCCCUUAUUCUAUUAUACUUAAUCCCUGACCUCAUGAAGACGCUGUCGCUUGAUGACUAUUUAGUCAUCAUCAGCCUCUACCUACAUUGACUUUCUUCCUUGUCUAGCCCACACUCCUUAUUUUAUUAUUUACCCACAUCAGUAUCCACAGUUUCUUUGCCUUUUGUGUUUCUUCCACUUUUGUCCAGCAUACCUAUUAUUCUAGUUUAGCCUAGCCAUUUGCUUCCUCUCCUCAUAUAGAAAGGUAAUUGUAUUAGUGAAAAUCAUGUAACUGGAUUAUUGCCAUGAUGAUAUGGCACAGUCCAUAAUGUAGCUCAGCCAUUCUUUUCCUUUCUCACCCACAGCUGCUAUUCUAACUUUUAUCGUUCCUUAAACCCUCUACUCUGCUUUUGAUCUUGUGCUUUUCAGCAGCUGGCUUUGCUUUUUCAGAGGAAACAGAGACUCUCAGACAUGAAUACUGUGACACUGACCACAGGCCAACCUAACAUCAGCAGAUAUCCUGUCUCAGAUGAAGAGACUAAAAACUGAGGGCUGACACUGAAUUUCUUCAUUUGUUUGUUGAAUGAAUGAGUAGCAAUUAGCACAGUAUCAUCUGUGAACGGUGAACCAUGACUCCUGUGUACUUUGGGUGAUGAUCAAAUAUUAACUUUGGGAAGGACCUCAAAGACAAUGUAGGUCAGCUCUUCUUUUAUCAGAUGCAGAAACUGAGGACCAGCGAAGUUAAGGACCUUAAGCACCUGUUCCUCAGACACGUGAUGUACACUGAUGCCAUCGUGCCUUUACUUCUGUUCUCUGCCUAGAAUAGACUGUUCCACCUGGCAAAACACUACUCUACUUAUCCAUGCACCUUGCUUUUCAGUGUUGUUCUUGGACUACCAGCAUCAGAGUUAUUAGGAGUGUUUAUUUAAAAUGCAGAUUCCUGAACUCCAUCACAGAGUUUUUGAACCAAUCUCUGGAAGGGAAUCCAGGAAGUCCAUUUUAAGUGGAGUUUCACUGUAUUAACUUAAAAAAAAAAAAAAAGGUCUCUACUUCCCCCUCUGCUUUCUCCUGCAAAACAAACACACAAGAAGAGAGAGAAAGAUGGGCGGGGAUGGGGGGUGGUGGGAAAGAAUAAAUACUGAUUCCAAAAUGAGAAAGGAACCGUCUUUGCAUCUAGGUUUUAGUAUAUGCUGCCAUAAACAGCUUUCAAUAAAAA